rnacentral:rRNA from 1 species
CGGAGGAGGCGUGGCGGACGGCUCAGUAACACGUAGCUAACCUAACCUCAGGACAGGGACAACCCCGGGAAACUGGGACUAAUCCCUGAUAGGUGAAGAGGCCCAGAAUGGUUCUUCAUCGAAAAGACAUCGGGACCGUGCUCUCAGUGUCGCCUGAGGAUGGGGCUGCGGCCGAUCAGAUAGUUGGUGAGAUAAAGGCUCACCAAGUCUAUAACCGGUACGGGCCGUGAGAGCGGGAGCCCGGAGAUGGGCACUGAGACAAGGGCCCAAGCCCUACGGGGCGCAGCAGUCGCGAAAACUCCGCAAUACGCGAAAGCGUGACGGGGCUACCCCGAGUGCUGUCCGCUGAGGGCAGCUUUUCUCUGGUGUAAUGAGCCGGAGGAAUAAGGAGAGGGCAAGUCUGGUGUCAGCCGCCGCGGUAAUACCAGCUCUCCGAGUGGUGGGGACGAUUAUUGAGCCUAAAGCGUCCGUAGCCUGCUCGGCAAGUCUUCCGUUAAAUCCAACGAUCUAAUCGUUGGACUGCGGGAGAUACUGUCGGACUAGGGGGCGGGAGAAGCCGACGGUACUCCUAGGGUAGGGGUGAAAUCCUAUAAUCCUAGGAGGACCACCAGUGGCGAAGGCGGUCGGCUAGAACGCGCCCGACGGUGAGGGGCGAAAGCUGGGGGAGCGAACCGGAUUAGAUACCCGGGUAGUCCCAGCCGUAAACGAUGCAGGCUAGGUGUUGGAGCGAUCAUGAAUCGCUCCAGUGCCGCAGGGAAGCUGUUAAGCCUGCCGCUUGGGAAGUACGGUCGCAAGACUGAAACUUAAAGGAAUUGGCGGGGGAGCACCACAAGGGGUGAAGCUUGCGGUUCAAUUGGAGUCAACACCGGGAACCUUACCGGGGGAGACAGCAGGUUGAAGGCCAGAUUGAAGGUCUUGCCGGACCAGCUGAGAGGAGGUGCAUGGCCGUCGCCAGUUCGUGCCGUGAGGUGUCCUGUUAAGUCAGGCAACGAUCGAGAACCACGCUCCUUGUAGCCAGCGGCACCCCGGAAGGGGGCCGGGC